UACAGAGGUCUCAAGCGUUGUUCGGAUUCAUUGGGCGUAAAGGGUGCGCAGGCGGCGUGGUUAGUUGAGUGUGAAAUCCCGGGGCUUAACCUCGGAACUGCACUCAAUACUGCCAUGCUAGAGGACUGUAGAGGAGAUUGGAAUUCCCGGUGUAGCGGUGAAAUGUGUAGAGAUCGGGAGGAACACCGGUGGCGAAGGCGGGUUGCUGGGCCGACACUGACGCUGAAGCGCGAAAGCCAGGGGAGCGAACAGG
rnacentral:rRNA from 1 species